UCUGGCAAUUUUAUAUUGUCCAUGUGGUGAAUCCCCCUGAGCGGAGGGGUGUAAUCAGUUGAAGUUGUGUUAUUACACACAUGCCCUCGGUUAACUGACCGAAGGCAUACCGGGAGGCACCCGGCGCCACAGUAUUCUCUGUUUUGUUAUUUUUCUCUUUAGGCCUGCUCCCUGUGAGUGGGCUUUUUUCAAUA
rnacentral:sRNA from 1 species